rnacentral:misc_RNA from 1 species
AACACUGUUAACCUGCGGUACCUGCGGAGGGAUCAUUAAAAAAAUGAUGAAUGUCGGGGGGGCGUUUGUUCCCCCGUGUAUUCAACCAACCCGCUCUUGUAUUUGGAUCAACCAAAAAUCUAAAAAGCAAAAAUUAUAAUUAAUAAAAUAAACUUUUAACAAUGGAUCU